AAAGUACUCCCUCCAUCCCAAAAUUCUUGUCUUGGAUUUGUCUAGAUACGGAUGUAUCAAGUCACAUUUUAGUAUUAGAUACAUCCGUAUCUAGACAAAUCUAAGACAAGAAAUUUGGGACAGAGGAAGUAGUUG
rnacentral:pre_miRNA from 1 species